rnacentral:rRNA from 1 species
GACGAACGCUGGCGGCGUGCUUAACACAUGCAAGUCGAACGGAAAGGCCCUGCUUUUGUGGGGUGCUCGAGUGGCGAACGGGUGAGUAACACGUGAGUAACCUGCCCUUGACUUUCGGAUAACUUCAGGAAACUGGGGCUAUUACCGGAUAGGAGCUCCUGAUGCACGGUGGGGGUUGGAAAGUGUCGGCGGUGGGGGAUGGACUCGCGGCUUCUCAGCUUGUUGGUGUGGUAGUGGCUGACCAAGGCUUUGACGGGUAGCCGGCCUGGGAGGGUGACCGGCGACAUGGGGACUGCGAUACGGACCAGACUCCUACGGGCGGCAGCAGUGGGGAGUAUUGCACAAUGGGCGGACGCCUGAGGCAGCAGCGCCGCGUGCGGGAUGACGGCCUUCGGGUUGUAAACCGCUUUCGCCUGUGACGAAGCGUGAGUGACGGUAAUGAGUAAAGAAGCACCGGCUAACUACGUG